AGAGUUUGAUCCUGGCUCAGAACUAACGCUAGCGGCGUGCUUAACACAUGCAAGUCGUACGAGAAAGUUCGCUUCGGCGGAUGAGUAAAGUGGCGCACGGGUGAGUAACACGUGGAUAAUCUGCCCUUCGGUAGGGAAUAACCCACUGAAAAGUGGGCCAAUACCCAAUAAUACUGUCGCGCCUUGGCGUGACAGUUAAAGAUAGCCUCUAUCUAUAAGCCGUCGCCGAAGGAUGAGUCCGCGUACCAUUAGCUUGUUGGUGGGGUAAUGGCCUACCAAGGCUACGAUGGUUAGCUGGUCUGAGAGGACGAUCAGCCACACUGGAACUGAAACACGGUCCAGACUCCUACGGGAGGCAGCAGUGAGGAAUUUUGCGCAAUGGGAGAAAUCCUGACGCAGCAACGCCGCGUGAGUGAGGAAGGCCUUCGGGUCGUAAAGCUCUGUCAGGUGGGAAGAAGUGUAUGGUAGUUAAUAGCUUCUAUAUUUGACGGUACCAUCAGAGGAAGCACCGGCAAACUCCGUGCCAGCAGCCGCGGUAAUACGGGGGGUGCAAGCGUUGUUCGGAAUCAUUGGGCGUAAAGAGCGUGUAGGCGGCUGGGUAAGUCAGAUGUGAAAGUCCCGGGCUCAACCCGGGAAGUGCAUUUGAUACUGCUCAGCUAGAGUAGGGGAGAGGAAAGUGGAAUUCCUGGUGUAGGGGUGAAAUUCGUAGAUAUCAGGAGGAACACCGGUGGCGAAGGCGGCUUUCUGGCCCUAUACUGACGCUGAGACGCGAAAGCGUGGGUAGCAAACAGGAUUAGAUACCCUGGUAGUCCACGCCCUAAACGAUGUUCACUAGGUGUUGGGAGUAUUGACCCUCUCAGUGC
rnacentral:rRNA from 1 species